rnacentral:rRNA from 1 species
UACGUAGGGUGCGAGCGUUAAUCGGAAUUACUGGGCGUAAAGCGUGCGCAGGCGGUGAUGUAAGACCGAUGUGAAAUCCCCGGGCUUAACCUGGGAACUGCAUUGGUGACUGCAUUGCUGGAGUAUGGCAGAGGGGGGUGGAAUUCCACGUGUAGCAGUGAAAUGCGUAGAGAUGUGGAGGAACACCGAUGGCGAAGGCAGCCCCCUGGGCCAAUACUGACGCUCAUGCACAAAGCGUGGGGAGCGAAACAGG